CUACGGGGGGCACCAGGUAGGAAUCUUUUGCAAUGCGCGCAAGCGUGACAAAGCGAGCCAGAGUGCUUUUCAAAUUGAAAAGCUUUUGCCAAAUGCAAAAAGUUUGGCGAAUAAGGACUGGGUAAGACGAGUGCCAGCCGCCGCGGUAAUACUCGCGGUCCAAGUCGCAGCCAUAUUUAUUGGGUCUAAAACAUCCGUAGCUUGCUGAAUAGGUUCCUUGUGAAAUCUUAUAUCUCAAGUAUAAGGCGUGCGGGGAAUACUGUUUAGCUAGAGACUGGAAGACGUAAGAAGUAUGUUCAAAGUAGCGGUAAAAUGUUUUAAUCUUGGACAGACUCACAACAGCGAAGGCAUCUUACGAGGACAGUUCUGACAGUAAAGGAUGAAGGCUAGGGGCGCAAAACGGAUUAGAUACCCGUGUAGUC
rnacentral:rRNA from 1 species